rnacentral:piRNA from 1 species
UCACAUUCAUCACAACAUAGUAAGUUUCCA